UACGUAGGGUGCAAGCGUUAAUCGGAAUUACUGGGCGUAAAGCGUGCGCAGGCGGUUUUGUAAGCCAGAUGUGAAAUCCCCGGGCUUAACCUGGGAAUGGCAUUUGGGACUGCAAGGCUUGAGUGCGGCAGAGGAGACUGGAAUUCCUGGUGUAGCAGUGAAAUGCGUAGAUAUCAGGAAGAACACCCGUGGCGAAGGCGGCUCUCUGGGACGGUACUGACGCUGAGACGCGAAAGCGUGGGGAGCGAACAGG
rnacentral:rRNA from 1 species